UAGAACUUCAGGCUGCGGUCCAUGCCUGUCGAGGCGAUGAACUUGGCGUGGUGGCCGAAAGCCACCCCUGUGGUGAGGCCACUGUGCUCGGUGAAGUGGAGGAUUUCUGUCCACUGCUUGCAGAUGUAGAUCUGGACGUCUGUGCCGCCCAAGGCAAGGUAGGUGCCGCUCUGGUCGAAGAUGAGAGACUUCACCUCGAAGUUGUUGUCCAGCUGCAAUGUCUUGAAGUUCUUCAGUUUACGCAAGUCCCACAGCUUGACGGAGGAGUCGUCUGCAGCCGUGGCCAGGUAGUAGCCGUUCUCAGAGAAGGCAAUGCUGGUGAUGGGGCCAGAGUGC
rnacentral:lncRNA from 1 species